AGUGAACGCUGGCGGCAGGCCUAACACAUGCAAGUCGAACGGCAGCACAGGAGAGCUUGCUCUCUGGGUGGCGAGUGGCGGACGGGUGAGGAAUAUAUCGGAAUCUACCCUUUCGUGGGGGAUACCGUAGGGAAACUUACGCUAAUACCGCAUACGAACUGAGGUUGAAAGCGGCGGACCGCAAGGCGUCGCGCGGAUGGAUGAGCCGAUAUCCGAUUAGCUAGUUGGCGGGGUAAAGGCCCACCAAGGCGACGAUCGGUAGCUGGUCUAAGAGGAUGAUCAGCCACACUGGAACGGAGACACGGCCCAGACUCCUACGGGAGGCAGCAGUGGGGAAUAUUGUACAAUGGGCGCAAGCCUGAUCCAGCCAUGCCGCGUGUGUGAAGAAGGCCUGCGGGUUGUAAAGCACUUUUGUUGGGGAAGAAAAGCGGUCGGUUAAUACCCGGUCGUUCUGACGGUACCCAAAGAAUAAGCACCGGCUAACUUCGUGCCAGCCGCCGCGGUAAUAC
rnacentral:rRNA from 1 species